AGGGAUGUAGCUCAAUGGUUCAGUGCUUGCCUGGCAAGCAUGAGGCCCUGAGUUCAAUUCCCGGUACCUA
rnacentral:tRNA from 1 species